UAACGACUCUCGGCAACGGAUAUCUCGGCUCUCGCAUCGAUGAAGAACGUAGCGAAAUGCGAUACUUGGUGUGAAUUGCAGAAUCCCGUGAACCAUCGAGUCUUUGAACGCAAGUUGCGCCCGAAGCCGCCAGGCCGAGGGCACGCCUGCCUGGGCGUCACGC
rnacentral:rRNA from 3 species